AGAGUUUGAUCAUGGCUCAGCCUGAACGCUGGCGGCGUGGCUAAGACAUGCAAGUCGAACGGGUGCAGCAAUGCAUCAGUGGCGAACGGGUGAGUAAUGUAUCGCUAACGUACCCUUGGGUCAGGGAUAGCCGGGGGAAACUCCGGGUAAUACCUGAUAAGACCACGAUCCCGCAUGGGAAUGUGUUCAAAGGAGCAAUCCGCGCAAGGAGCGGGCGAUAUCGUAUCAGCUGGUUGGUGAGGUAACGGCUCACCAAGGCGACGACGCGUAGCCGGGCUGAGAGGUCGGCCGGCCACAUUGGGACUGAGACACUGCCCAGACUCCUACGGGGGGCUGCAGUAACGAAUCUUCCGCAAUGCACGAAAGUGUGACGGAGCGACGCCGCGUGUGGGACGAAGCCCUUCGGGGUGUAAACCACUGUCAGGGGUUACCAAGUUCUGAGGAGCCCCAGAGGAAGGCACGGCUAACUCUGUGCCAGCCGCCGCGGUAAUAC
rnacentral:rRNA from 1 species